rnacentral:rRNA from 1 species
UACGGAGGGGGUUAGCGUUGUUCGGAAUUACUGGGCGUAAAGCGCGCGUAGGCGGACUAUUAAGCAGAGGUGAAAUCCCGGGGCUCAACCCCGGAACUGCCUUUGAUACUGGUAGUCUUGAGUUCGAGAGAGGUAAGUGGAAUUCCGAGUGUAGAGGUGAAAUUCGUAGAUAUUGGGAAGAAUACCAGUGGCGAAGGCGGCUUACUGGUCCGAUACUGACGCUGAGGUGCGAAAGCGUGGGGAGCAAACAGGAUUAGAUACCCCC